UACGUAGGGUCCGAGCGUUGUCCGGAAUCAUUGGGCGUAAAGAGCGUGUAGGCGGCCACUUAAGUCCUGCGUGAAAUCUUGCGGCUCAACCGCAAGCGGUCGUGGGAAACUGGGUGGCUAGAGUGCGGGAGAGGAGAGUGGAAUUCCUGGUGUAGCGGUGAAAUGCGCAGAUAUCAGGAGGAACACCAAUGGCGAAGGCAGCUCGCUGGGACGGUACUGACGCUGAGACGCGAAAGCGUGGGGAGCAAACAGG
rnacentral:rRNA from 1 species